CACGUAGGGGGCAAGCGUUGUCCGGAUUUAUUGGGCGUAAAGAGCUCGUAGGCGGCUCGGUAAGUCGGGUGUGAAACCUCCAGGCUCAACCUGGAGACGCCACCUGAUACUGCUGUGGCUAGAGUCCGGUAGGGGAGUGUGGAACUCCUGGUGUAGCGGUGAAAUGCGCAGAUAUCAGGAAGAACACCAGCGGCGAAGGCGAGUCCCUGGACAACUCCUGACACUGAGGCACGAAAGCUAGGGGAGCAAACAGG
rnacentral:rRNA from 1 species